GUGAGGAAUAUUGGUCAAUGGGCGGAAGCCUGAACCAGCCAUGCCGCGUGCAGGAAGACGGCCCUACGGGUUGUAAACUGCUUUUCCGGGGGAAGAAUAAUCCCGACGUGUCGGGAGACGACGGUACCCCGGGAAUAAGGAUCGGCUAACUCCGUGCCAGCAGCCGCGGUAAUACGGAGGAUCCGAGCGUUAUCCGGAUUUACUGGGUUUAAAGGGUGCGUAGGCGGGCGCUUAAGUCAGCGGUGAAAUGCGGGGGCUCAACCUUCGAACGGCCGUUGAUACUGGGCGCCUUGGAUUCGGUCGAGGCGGGCGGAAUGCGACAUGUAGCGGUGAAAUGCUUAGAUAUGUCGCAGAACGCCGAUUGCGAAGGCAGCUCGCCGGGCCGAGAUUGACGCUGAGGCACGAAAGCGUGGGGAUCGAACAGGAUUAGAUACCCGAGUAGUCC
rnacentral:rRNA from 1 species